GACGAACGCUGGCGGCGUGCCUAAUACAUGCAAGUUGAGCGCUGAAGGUUGGUACUUGUACCAACUGGAUGAGCAGCGAACGGGUGAGUAACGCGUGGGGAAUCUGCCUUUGAGCGGGGGACAACAUUUGGAAACGAAUGCUAAUACCGCAUAAAAACUUUAAACACAAGUUUUAAGUUUGAAAGAUGCAAUUGCAUCACUCAAAGAUGAUCCCGCGUUGUAUUAGCUAGUUGGUGAGGUAAAGGCUCACCAAGGCGAUGAUACAUAGCCGACCUGAGAGGGUGAUCGGCCACAUUGGGACUGAGACACGGCCCAAACUCCUACGGGAGGCAGCAGUAGGGAAUCUUCGGCAAUGGACGAAAGUCUGACCGAGCCACGCCGCGUGAGUGAAGAAGGUUUUCGGAUCGUAAAACUCUGUUGGUAGAGAAGAACGUUGGUGAGAGUGGAAAGCUCAUCAAGUGACGGUAACUACCCAGAAAGGGACGGCUAACUACGUG
rnacentral:rRNA from 1 species